UUGAACUUUUACACCAUAUUUCAGGAGCACAUAUCAGCACUGGGUGGGAUCAGAGCAAAAACUUUAACUACAGACCAAUAGCAAUGCUUCUGGAGGGGUCAGGAAAGUCAUGGGAGCAUCGUCAGGCAGGAGCACGAAAUGGGAACCCCUCCUCUGAAAUGAAAAUAACCUUGGAACAAAAGAAAGCAGGAGCGAGUACCAUUUCCUUGCCUGCCUUUCAGCCCAUGUGACACUCCUUCCAAGACUUGCCUGUUAGGCCAGUCUAAGGAGAAGAAUGCUGUCCAACUUGCUGCUGGCCUGACUCACCCACCACCGCUCAUCUCCUCUGCAGACGGAAGGGAGAGCAUCACAGGAGGAUUGGUAUCUUAAGUAACUGAUUAUUUUAAUCCAGGGCGUCAUGAAGGAUAUAAGGACAAACUAUGCCAUUGCCAAAAAUGAUGGGAAGGGGAGGGGAAUCUC
rnacentral:lncRNA from 11 species